AGAUUGAACGCUGGCGGCAUGCCUAACACAUGCAAGUCGAACGGGAGUAGCAAUACUCUAGUGGCGGACGGGUGAGGAAUACGUAGGAAUUUGCCCUUAAGUGGGGGAUAACCCGGGGAAACCCGGAUUAAUACCGCAUGACCUCGAAAGAGCAAAGUGGGGGAUCGCAAGACCUCACGCUUUUGGAGAAGCCCACGUCGGAUUAGCUAGUUGGUGAGGUAAUGGCUCACCAAGGCGACGAUCCGUAACUGGUCUGAGAGGAUGAUCAGUCACACCGGAACUGAGACACGGUCCGGACU
rnacentral:rRNA from 1 species